GCUAAUGGGUAGACGUGAAGUCAUAUAAGUAGAGGCGUACCCACAUGAAGCGACUCAGUGACAGGCCUCGUCUGCCUUUGAGUGUCACCUUGCUUGACCUCGUGAACAGGACUUUCAGUGACUGCACGUGACAGUUCCUCCUUGCUGUCUGCUGAUUUACCUGGCGUGAAGAUUGUCUUGACAGCUCACAUCACAAAACAAUUUGCUGCUUCAUUACAGUGACCUCCACCUCAGCUUCUGUUUCCCUGCCACUGAGCAGCAUGGCGCUGACGAUGCUUGCCUUUGGGGUCGUCACACUCCUUAUUGUGCACAGUCCAACACUCGCACAAACAACAAGAUCAUCAGAUGCUACGCCCACAUCUACAACAACAGCGACAUCAGUGUGCCCUGUCAAUGCUACGACUCUGGAUGUUGUACCCGGGCAAGUUGGUCACGUGACGUCUCCUAACUACCCGUCCCCCUAUUACAAUUAUGCCAACUGUCGCUGGCUGAUAAACGCUGGCAGUGGUUAUGUUGUGAAGGUGACUAUCUUGAACUUUAAUCUGGAGACAUGUUGUGAUUACUUGGAGUUAUACAACGGAACCGAGCCAUCCAGUUCAUCCCUCAUUAUCAGGACCAGUUCCAUGCCCCAACAGUCAGUCUUCCAUAGCAGUGGGCAGUACAUGUACAUCAGGUUUUCCAGCGACGGCUCCGUCACGUCCUCAGGCUUCAGGCUGACAUACGAGGCCGUUGACCAGCAGACUGUGCCAACGUCUGUUUGUACUUCUAACGGGACAACUUUCUCUGCUGUACCCGGGCAAGUCGGUUACCUGACGUCUCUUUAUUACCCAUCUGUCUAUUCCGGCUUCAUCUCCUGCUCGUGGACGAUAAAUUCUACCAGUGGCUAUGUCGUCAAGGCAACUAUCUUGAACGUUACUAACCCCGAGUUCUACUUCUACAUCAGAAUUUAUGACGGUAUGUCGGAAUCAUCAACUAACCUUGCCCAGUUCUCCAGCAUCUUAUCACAAACCGUGUAUUACAGCUCUGGACAGUCCAUGUACAUCAGGCUUACCACCGACGGUCUCAGCCCAAACACAUCCUUCAGUCUCACCUACGAGGCUGUCGAUGAGUCGUCUGGCCCCAAGUCUGUUUGUACUUCUAACGGGACAACUCUCUCUGCUGUACCCGGACAAGUCGGUUACCUGACGUCUCCUUACUACCCGUCUGUCUAUUACACCGGCUUCAUCUCCUGCUCGUGGACGAUAAAUUCCACCAGUGGCUAUGUCGUCAAGGCGACUGUCUUAAACGCUAACCCUCAGUUCUACUCCUACAUCGUGAUUUAUGACGGUACGUCGGAAUCAUCACGCACACUUGCAUCGUUCUCCAGCAUGCCAUCACAAACCGUGUAUUACAGCUCUGGACAGUCCAUGUGCAUCACUCUUACUACCUACGGUCUGAGCCCAAACGCAUCCUUCAGUCUCACCUACGAGGCCGUCGAGCAACUGUCUGCCCCCACGUCUGUUUGUACUUCUAACGGUACAACUUUCUCUGCUGUACCCGGGCAAGUCGGUUACCUGCCGUCUCUUUAUUGGCCGUCUGUCUAUUCUGGCUUCAUUUCCUGCUCGUGGACGAUAAAUUCUACCACUGGCUAUGUCGUCAGAGCAACACUCUUAAACGUUACUAACUCUGAGUUCAACUACUACAUCGUUAUUUAUGACGGUAUAUCGGAAUCAUCACGUACACUUGGACGGAUCUCCAGCAUGCCAUCUCAAACCGUGUACUACAGCUUUGGACAGUCCAUGUACAUCACGCUUAGUACCAACCGUCUGAGCCCAAACGCAUCCUUCAGUCUCACCUACGAGGCCGUCGAGCAACUGUCUGCCCCCACGUCUGUGUGUACUUUUAACGGGACAACUUUCUCUGCUGUACCCGGGCAAGUCGGUUACCUGACGUCUCUUUAUUGGCCGUCUGUCUAUUCCGGCUUCAUUUCCUGUUCGUGGACGAUAAAUUCUACCAGUGGCUAUGUCGUCAAGGCAACACUCUUAAACGUUACUAACGCUGAGUUCUACCUCAACAUCGUGAUUUAUGACGUUAUGUCAGAAUCAUCACGUGCACUUGCUCAGUUCUCCAGCAUGUCAUCACGAACCGUGUAUUACAGCUCUGGACGGUCCAUGUACAUCACACUUACUACCGACGGUCUCAGCCCAAACUCAGUAUUCAGUCUCACCUAUGAGGCCGUCGAGCAACUGUCUGUCCCCACGUCUGCGUGUACUUCUAACGGGACAACUCUCUCUGCUGUACCCGGGCAAGUCGGUCACCUGACGUCUCUUUACUACCCGUCUGUCUAUUCCGGCUUCAUCUUCUGCUCGUGGACGAUAAAUUCUACCACUGGCUAUGUCGUCAAGGCGACUCUCUUAAACGUUACUAACGCUGAGUUCUACUUCUACAUCGGGAUUUAUGACGGUAUGUCGGAAUCAUCACGUACACUUGCAUCGUUCUCCAACAUACCGUCACAAACCGUGUAUUACAGCUCUGGACAGUCCAUGUACAUCACACUUACUACCUACGGCCUUAGCCCAAACUCAUUUUUUAGUCUGACCUACGAGGCCGUCGAUGAAUUGUCUGCCCCCACGUCUGUGUGUACUUCUAACGGGACAAAUUUCUCUGCUGUACCCGGUCAAGUCGGUUACCUGCCGUCUCUUUACUUCCCGUCUGUCUAUUUCGGCUCCAUCUCCUGCUCGUGGACAAUAAUUUCUACCAGUGGCUAUGUCGUCAAGGCAACUAUCUUGCCCGCUACUGACUCUGAUUUUGACUUCAACAUCGUGAUUUAUGACGGUAUGUCAGCCUCAUCCCCUACACUUGCAUCGUUCUCCCGCAUACCGUCACAAACCGUGUAUUACAGCUCUGGACAGUCCAUGUACAUCAGGAUUACUACCUACGGCCUUAGCCCAAACUCAGUAUUCUAUCUAACCUACGAGGCCGUGGAUCCGUUGUCUGCUAAGCUGUCCGUGUGCUCUGUCAAUGCUCCAACUAUUUAUGUUGUACCUGGGCAAGUUGGUUACCUGACGUCUCCUAACUACCCCUCUUCCUAUUACAAGCUCCCAGAUAUCCAGUUCACCCCUCAUUAUCAGGAUCAGCUCCAUGCCCUCACAGACAGUCUUCUACAGCAGUGGGCAGUACCUGUACAUCAGGUUUUACAGACACCACUCCAUCACGUCCUCAGGCUUCAGGCUGACAUACGAGGCCGUUGACCAGGAGACUGUGUCCACGUCUGAAGUGUGUCCUGUCAACGGUACUGCUUUGUCUGCUCUUCCUGGUCGUGUUGAUUAUCUGAGGUUUCCCAACCACCGGUCUAGCUAUUCCAAUAACACCAACUGCCGAUGGUUAAUAAACGCUACUAUUGGUGAUACU
rnacentral:misc_RNA from 1 species